rnacentral:rRNA from 1 species
GACAGAGGGGGCAAGCGUUGCUCGGAAUUACUGGGCGUAAAGGGCGCGUAGGCGGGAUGGCAAGUCGGUCGUGAAAUCCUUCGGCCCAACCGAAGAACGUCGAUCGAUACUGCUGUUCUAGAGGAUUGCAGAGGAGACUGGAAUUCCCGGUGUAGCGGUGAAAUGCGCAGAUAUCAGGAGGAACACCGAUGGCGAAGGCAGGUCUCUGGGCAUUAACUGACGCUGAGGAGCGAAAGCAUGGGGAGCGAACAGG